rnacentral:piRNA from 1 species
CGAUUUGUGGUUACCUCUGCUUUUAGUGG